CUGGGGAUAUAUCUUAGUUGGUAGAGUACUUGCCUUGCAUGCAAAAGGGCCUGGGUUCAAUCCCCAGCACAAGA
rnacentral:tRNA from 1 species